rnacentral:misc_RNA from 1 species
AAGCUGCUGCUGCUGCUGCUGCUGCUGCGGAUUACUGUUUUGAUGCUGCUGCUGUUGUUGCUGCUGUUGUAUUUGAGCCAUUUUUAACUUAAUCAGCGUAUCUGUAUCUCCACGAGGCAAAAGAGAGCCACCAGCUUGUAGAGGAGAUCCAACGUUUGGAAUCACAUCACCGACAGGAUUUGAAAGCCCAUCCUUCCCAAGCCCCAUAUUCCGGUUGUUCCAAAGCAUUCUCAA